AAAACGACUCUCGGCAACGGAUAUCUCGGCUCUCGCAUCGAUGCAGAACGCAGCGAAAUGCGAUACUUGGUGUGAAUUGCUGAAUCCCGUGAACCAUCGAGUUUUUGAACGCAAGUUGCGCCCGAAGCCUUCGGGCCGAGGGCACGUCUGCCUGGGUGUCACGC
rnacentral:rRNA from 1 species